rnacentral:rRNA from 1 species
AUUGAACGCUGGCGGAAUGCUUUACACAUGCAAGUCGAACGGUAGAGGGGGCAACCCCUCGAGAGUGGCGAACGGGUGAGUAAUAUAUCGGAACGUGCCCAGUCGUGGGGGAUAACGUAGCGAAAGUUACGCUAAUACCGCAUACGAUCUACGGAUGAAAGCGGGGGAUCGCAAGACCUCGCGCGAUUGGAUCGGCCGAUAUCAGAUUAGGUAGUUGGUGGGGUAAAGGCUCACCAAGCCAACGAUCUGUAGCUGGUCUGAGAGGACGACCAGCCACACUGGAACUGAGACACGGUCCAGACUCCUACGGGAGGCAGCAGUGGGGAAUUUUGGACAAUGGACGCAAGUCUGAUCCAGCCAUUCCACGUGCAGGAUGAAGGCCCUCGGGUUGUAAACUGCUUUUGUACGGAACGAAAAGGUUUCCAUUAAUACUGGGAGCUCAUGACGGUACCGUAAGAAUAAGCACCGGCUAACUACGUGCCAGCCGCCGCAGUAA